GACGAACGCUGGCGGCGUGCUUAACACAUGCAAGUCGAACGGAAAGGCCCUGCUUUUGUGGCGUGCUCGAGUGGCGAACGGGUGAGUAACACGUGAGUAACCUGCCCUUGACUUUGGGAUAACUUCAGGAAACUGGGGCUAAUACCGGAUAGGAGCUCCUGCUGCAUGGUGGGGGUUGGAAUGUUUCGGCGGUUGGGGAUGGACUCGGGGAUUGUCAGCUUGUUGGUGGGGUAGUGGCUUACCAAGGCUUCGACGGGUAGCCGGCCUGUGAGGGGACACGGCCACAUUGGGACUGGGAGGCAGCAGAGGCUAAUCGGGGGCGAAGGGGGGGAGAAUAUCGCAGAAAGGGCGGAUGCGUGAAGAAGGAACGCGGUGCGCGGAAUUCCGGUCUUAGGGUUGAAAACAGAUGUAGCAAGCAACGAAGUGUGAGAGGGGAUAUUGCCAAAAGAAGAACGGGAAAACUACG
rnacentral:rRNA from 1 species